UGCCUCAACAACUAUAAAUGUUUUCCAGA
rnacentral:piRNA from 1 species